CAGACUAACACGGCUGCUACUCUGAAACCAGAUACCUUGAGCAAGUUAGCACCCAAAGGAAACAAGGUGUUAGUGAGCACUGUGAAGGAUUCAUGAGAAAAAUACUGAAUUCUCAUCUGACUUCUAUUGAAUGGUAGAAACCUGUCCUGCAAGAUGAAUGGCUGCAGGUUCAUCUACAGUGCUUGAGUUCUCUCCUCCCAGGAGCUGGAUCCCAGACAGAGAUCAGGCCCUAUUUGUAUUAGGCCAUGUACAAACAAGUAACAUAAAAAGUCCUUGCUCCAGAGAGCUCACAAUCUAGAAUUUUGAAAACACGCAACAGAUGAACAAACAGAUGGAGGAUAGAGGAUAGACUGUGAGAACUCUGUGCAGAUGAAGAUCUCAAUGUGUUAAUCAGAUGGAAAAGCCCCUGUAAACUGAGCACCUGCCAUCUCUGUCUCACAGCAUGGAUCCUGAGCUACUGACCAUGGUGGUGAUCAACCUCAUGAACACAACAAGGCCGGUCCUGCAGUAUUUCAUGAGCUCCAAAACAGAGAGUGAAUCAGUGAUGGCUGCCCUGCUAUCUGCCAUGAAAACAAAUAAUUCAAGUUUGCUGCCUACCUUCACGGAACAGCUUGCCAUGGUGGACCAUUGGUACUGAGCUUGGGAAAGAAGCACUGAGUGGUGGGUUUGGAUCAUGAUUCAGGUAUGGGAUGAUGAGCAGUGGCUGCAGAACUUUCGGAUGUGCAAAGCCACCUUCCUGGAACUGUGUGCAGAGCUCUCCCCAGCACUGUGGCCAAGGACACCAGAAUGAGAGCUGCCCUCACUGUGGAAAAGCGAGAGGCGAUCGCUGUGUGGAACCUGGCAACUCCUGACUGCUACCAGUUAGUCACAAAUCAGUUUGGAGUUGGAAAGUCCACCAUGGGGGUUGCAGUGAUGCAAAUGUGCAGGGCCAUUAAUCGCCUUCUGCUAUGAAGGACUUGACUCUAGUAACACGCAGGAAAUAAUUUAUGACUUUGAGGCAAUGGGAUUCCCUAACAGCAGCCGGGCGAUAGAGGGAACGCAUAUCUCUAUUUUGGCCCCCGACCACCUUAUGAUGGAGUACAUCAAUCGAAAGGGCUACUUCUCCAUGGUCUUGCAAGCUCUAGUGGAUCACCAGGCACGUUUUGCUAACAUCUAUGCAGGGUGGUCAGGGAAGAUGCGUGACGCACACAUAUUUUGGAACACUGGACUGUAUAGAAAGCUGCACACUGCAACUUUCUUUCCAGACCAGAAGAUUUCAGGGGAGAUAUGCAAGUGCCCAUAGUGAUCCUUGGAGACACCCCCCCCCCCCGUAUCCCUAGCUCCCCUGGCUCAUGAAGCAUUGCACCGGGAACCUAGACAGUAGCAAGGAGCACUUCAACCACAGGCUCAGCAGGUGCCAAAAUGAUCAUUGAAUGUGCCUUUGGCUGAUUAAAAGGAUGCUAGCACUGUCUUUUUGGCCUGUUAAACCUCAAUGAGGAAAAUAUUCUGAUGGUCAUUGUGGCCUGCUAUACACUCCAUAAUAUUUGCAAAUCGAAGGAGGAAAAGUUUCCCCAGGAGUGGGAUGCUGAGGCUGAUCAUUCAGCAGCCAGGUACAAGGGCAAUUAGAAGUGUGCAGAGGGAGGCUAUUUGAAUCAGGGAGGCUUUGAAGGAGCAUUUUGACAGUGAUUCCUAGUAAUGUGUCUUUAUGUGAUGCGUUCAGCUAAGCAAUGUUUACUUGCCACCAUGAAUUACCCCUGAUGUGCUUGCGUCUUGAGCAUUAAU